rnacentral:lncRNA from 1 species
GCUCUUCCUGUCCGUCUGCUGAACGUUUUUGAGCCUCCAGGCACGUCCCCUUGCUGUGCCCUGCUGGACCCGCUCCGCACCGCAGGAAGGACUGUCCAUGUGCAGCAGCAGCAGGCAAGUGGGGAGAGGGGCUGAUCUGCACACAGCAGUGCACUGAUCCUGCUGGAAAUGACACUUAGUUCUGGGACUACAGGGGAGAAAGACUUGAAAGUAC